rnacentral:misc_RNA from 1 species
AAGGUCAUUCGCAAGAGUGGCCUUGCG